rnacentral:rRNA from 1 species
AACGAACGCUGGCGGCGUGCCUAACACAUGCAAGUCGAACGGAUUGAAGGGGCUUGCUCCUUCAGUUAGUGGCGCACGGGUGAGUAACGCGUAGAUAAUCUGCCUGAUGAUCUGGGAUAACAGUUCGAAAGGACUGCUAAUACCGGAUGAGCCCACGUGGUCUUUGGACCGUGCGGGAAAAGGGGGGGACCUUCGGGCAUUCUGUCAUCAGGUGAGUCUGCGUACCAUUAGCUAGUUGGUAGGGUAAUGGCCUACCAAGGCUACGAUGGUUAGCUGGUUUGAGAGAAUGAUCAGCCACACUGGAACUGAGACACGGUCCAGACUCCUACGGGAGGCAGCAGUGGGGAAUUUUGCGCAAUGGGCGAAAGCCUGACGCAGCAACGCCGCGUGAGUGAUGAAGGCUUUCGGGUCGUAAAGCUCUGUCGAGGGGAAAGAAGUGUAUUGUGGUUAAUACCCGCGAUACUUGACGGUACCCCUAAAGGAAGCACCGGCUAACUCCGUGCCAGCAGCCGCCGUAAUAC